AACAGAGGGUGCUAGCGUUGUUCGGAAUGACUGGGCGUAAAGGGCGCGUAGGCGGAAAUAUUAGUCAGGCGUGAAAGCCCCGGGCUUAACCCGGGAAUAGCGCAUGAAACGGUAUAUCUAGAGUGCGAGAGAGGAAAGUGGAAUUCCUAGUGUAGAGGUGAAAUUCGUAGAUAUUAGGAGGAACACCAGAGGCGAAGGCGGCUUUCUGGCUCGCAACUGACGCUGAGGCGCGAAAGCGUGGGGAGCAAACAGG
rnacentral:rRNA from 1 species